AUUGAACGCUGGCGGCAUGCCUUACACAUGCAAGUCGAACGGCAGCACGGGAGCAAUCCUGGUGGCGAGUGGCGAACGGGUGAGUAAAGUAUCGGAACGUGCCCAGUCGUGGGGGAUAACGUAGCGAAAGUUACGCUAAUACCGCAUACGAUCUACGGAUGAAAGCGGGGGAUCGCAAGACCUCGCGCGAUUGGAGCGGCUGAUAACAGAUUAGGUAGUUGGUGGGGUAAAGGCUCACCAAGCCGACGAUCUGUAGCUGGUCUGAGAGGACGACCAGCCACACUGGGACUGAGACACGGCCCAGACUCCUACGGGAGGCAGCAGUGGGGAAUUUUGGACAAUGGGCGCAAGCCUGAUCCAGCCAUGCCGCGUACAGGAUGAAGGCCUUCGGGUUGUAAACUGCUUUUGUACGGAACGAAAAGGUUUGGCCUAAUAAGCUGGACCCAUGACGGUACCGUAAGAAUAAGCACCGGCUAACUACGUGCCAGCCGCCGCAGUAA
rnacentral:rRNA from 1 species